AAAGUACUCCCUCUGUCCCAAAAUUCUUGUCUUAGAUUUGUCUAGAUACGGAUGUAUCAAGUCACAUUUUAGUAUUAGAUACAUCUGUAUCUAGACAAAUCUAAGACAAGAAAUUUGGGACAGAGGGAGUAGUUG
rfam:Triticum aestivum genome assembly, contig: Triticum_aestivum_CS42_TGACv1_scaffold_592158_7BS